UGAACGCUGGCGGCGUGCCUAAUACAUGCAAGUCGAGCGAACGGACGAGAAGCUUGCUUCUCUGAUGUUAGCGGCGGACGGGUGAGUAACACGUGGAUAACCUACCUAUAAGACUGGGAUAACUUCGGGAAACCGGAGCUAAUACCGGAUGAUAUUUUGAACCGCAUGGUUCAAAAGUGAAAGACGGUCUUGCUGUCACUUAUAGAUGGAUCCGCUCUGCAUUAGCUAGUUGGUAAGGUAACGGCUUACCAAGGCAACGAUGCAUAGCCGACCUGAGAGGGUGAUCGGCCACACUGGAACUGAGACACGGUCCAGACUCCUACGGGAGGCAGCAGUAGGGAAUCUUCCGCAAUGGGCGAAAGCCUGACGGAGCAACGCCGCGUGAGUGAUGAAGGUCUUCGGAUCGUAAAACUCUGUUAUUAGGGAAGAACAUAUGUGUAAGUAACUGUGCACAUCUUGACGGUACCUAAUCAGAAAGCCACGGCUAACUACGUG
rnacentral:rRNA from 1 species